AUUGAACGCUGGCGGCAGGCCUAACACAUGCAAGUCGAGCGGAUGAAGGGAGCUUGCUCCUGGAUUCAGCAGCGGACGGGUGAGUAAUGCCUAGGAAUCUGCAUGGUGGGGGGAUAACGCUAGGAAACGGGAGCUAAUACCGCAUACGAACCGAGAGAGAAAGAGGGGGAUAUACGGACAUCACGCUAUCAGAUGAGUAAAGGUCGGAUUAGAUAGUUGGUGGGGUAAAGGCAUACGAAGGCUAGGAUCGGUAACUGGUCUGAGAGGAUGAUCAGUCACACUGGAACUGAGACUCGGUCCUGACUCCUACGGUAGGCAGCAGUGGGGAAUAUUAGACGAUGGGCGAAAGCCUGAUCCAGCCAUGCCGCGUGUGUGAAGAAGGUCUUCGGAUUGUAAAGCACUUUAAGUUGUGGUGAAGGGCAGUAAUUUUAUACCUUGCUGUUUUGACGUUACCAACAGAAUAAGCCCCGGCUAACUUCGUG
rnacentral:rRNA from 1 species